rnacentral:rRNA from 1 species
UGGCGGACGGGUGAGUAACGCGUGGAAAACCUGCCGUAUACUGGGGGAUAACACUUAGAAAUAGGUGCUAAUACCGCAUAAGCGCACAGCUUCGCAUGAAGUGGUGUGAAAAACUCCGGUGGUAUACAAUGGUUCCGCGUCUGAUUAGCUUGUUGGUGGGGUAAUGGCUCACCAAGGCGACGAUCAGUAGCCGGCCUGAGAGGGUGAACGGCCACAUUGGGACUGAGACACGGCCCAAACUCCUACGGAAGGCAGCAG